rnacentral:tRNA from 1 species
ACCACUGUAGCUCAGUUGGUAGAGUAUGGCGCUUGCAACACCAGGGUUGUGGGUUUGAUUCCCACGGGGGGCU